rnacentral:tRNA from 1 species
GCCCACGGAGCUUGAAUGGUCUAGCGCCAGGCCUUCGGGCCUGGUGAAUUGGGUUCAAUUCCCGACGUGGGCU